rnacentral:rRNA from 1 species
UACGUAGGGGGCAAGCGUUGUCCGGAUUUAUUGGGCGUAAAGAGCGUGUAGGCGGCCAGACAGGUCCGUUGUGAAAACUAGAGGCUUAACCUCUAGACGUCGAUGGAAACUGUUUGGCUAGAGUCCGGAAGAGGAGAAUGGAAUUCCUGGUGUAGCGGUGAAAUGCGCAGAUAUCAGGAAGAACACCCGUGGCUAAGGCGGUUCUCUAGUACGGUACUGACGCUGAGACGCGAAAGCGUGGGGAGCGAACAGG